GGAGACUCCAGCAACACCGUCUCUCCUCCUCCUGUAUCAGACUGUUUCCUCUGCUGGACGCUGCUGUUCAGUGUUUGUGUUGUGUGUUUUCUCCUCUGCUUCAUCUGUAUGUACUGCCUCUGUCACAGAAAAACUACAGAUGGUGGAACUGUUAACAGAGAAAAGAUAAAAAGUAGAAAUACUUGUGAGGGUAAUGAUGAUGACGUGUGUUAUGCUUCCUUGGAGGUGAAUGCCAGAAGUCAGAAACAACUAAAGAAGAAACAACAGCAGAGUUCAGACUUCAGUAUUUAUGCUCCGGUCAGAACAGACACAGUACAGAACUUCUGAUUAGGAAUCUGAUGAACUUUUGAUGGUUAGAAAAGAUUCAGGUGCAGGUAUAUUUGAAACCUUGUGACUAAAGCAACUAUUUCAUGUCUAAAAAUGUAUGCAGAUACAGUACAGACAAAUCCAAUAUGCUUCAGCAUCAUGCUCCAGUAUAUAUUACAGUGUUGUCUCUCUGAUGCUUAUAGAUUUGCACUGAUUUUGUGUGGUGGGCCAUCGGCUGACCCUCUUUCACUGUCUUCUGAUGAAAAUGUCUAUCUGUGAUCUAUGAGAGAUAAUAUAUGGGACUAAAGUAAAAUGGCAUUUUUACUUUUUGGUGUGUUGUUUUGUAUGUGUAACUCGCCUUUGUUGAAGCAAAUCAUGAUGACAUGAUUAACAGGAUGUUGGACAGGAUGUGCAGUAUGGUUCAAGGUAAAAUAUUUAUAGUUACUGUAGGAACAUUUAUCAGACUUUUUUUUUUACAAUAAGCACCUUUAAAUUUCCCAACAUGUUAAGAGGUUGUCAGCAUUCUGGGCCUGCUGAAUAGGUCAAGCUUGCAAAACCUAAAGCUGGUUUUGGGGCAACAUUGUUACUUUGUCACCAGAAGUCCAUCAAGGAUGAAUUCAUUUAGCUUUUUUCUUUUUUUGCAUUGUUAAAUGUAAGAUCAAUGACUUUAAAUCAUUUUUAAGUAGGCCUAAUUAUAAUUUUCAUUAUUUUCCUGUAAGGCCUGAGAUCUUCAAAUGUGUUAGGUGUCAUCAUUUCACAUGCUGUGUUUUUUGCUGAAGGGUCUUUCAUUUUCAGUCAUAUAGACAAUCUUAACCACAAAUGUUUCCACUGAAGUUCAACUCGUAGAGACAGAAAUAAAUGUGACAUUGUGUGUGCUUGUUUACAUGUAUGUGGUCAGUUUGUGGUAGAGUUGGUUUGUAUGCAUGCUGUGUCUGCAGUUUUCCUGUACAUUCUCACAUUUACUCGAAAAUGAGACCAACUGUGUGUAUCUGCCUAUCUUUUAAAGCUCAGGGGUGAAGGUUAAACACAACAAUGCAGUUAAGAUUAAGACUCUGAACUUUAAUUUACUCCACAAGGACUGUACAAUUUACAAAAAAUUAAAUGCGUCUGCAAAGUUACUUACUAACAAAGUUGUUAGUGGGUAGUCAAGGACUAGUACAACUUUAAAGUAUGAAAACAAAUAUUAACAUCUGAAAGUGACAGAUCUCAUUUCAGUGGUUGAAGUAGUCAGUGUGGACAGUUUUAGAUUUGCUUUUGUAAAAUCGUAACAAUAUACAAGAAGUAUGAAAGUUUA